rnacentral:snRNA from 1 species
AUUUUUGGCAUUUGGGGGCAAUGACAGAGCGAGUGAGAUUCUAACCAAUGCAUGUUAUUGUUGUUUGAAAACUAUUUCGAAACCUCCGCUUAGGUCUAAGUUUCGGUUAGACCCUUGAGAAUUUUUGGAAAGACUCCCUUUUGAGGAUAGCC